rnacentral:lncRNA from 1 species
GUUGGUUUUAAUUUGUCUGUCAUAUUUGUUUUUUUAAUAAACUUUUCAGUUAUAAAUUAUGUUUCUAGUUUGCUCCAUGAAAAUUAGUUUAUAUUGUUCAUAGUGGGAGGGGCCUUUUAAAGGCAACUAUAUGGAAUGGGUUUUUCUCAUUGUUGAAGACGGCAUAGUUGUCUAUAAUUGAUAACACACCUUCUUUGAAUUUGUUGUCUCAUUUGCGGUUUUACCACAUCUCCUAAUUUUUGUAACUAAUUUGUGCAUAUUAAUAUUUUGUCUUUUUGACCAGCUUUAGGCCAAAGAUGACAUUGCAUAAUUUUUUAUUAAAAAGUCUGUGUAAUUAGACCCUGUUUUGCUCCAAGUGUUGAGAGUUUUCC